rnacentral:rRNA from 1 species
GCAUAUCAAUAAGCGGAGGAAAAGAAACCAACCGGGAUUGCCUCAGUAACGGCGAGUGAAGCGGCAAGAGCUCAAAUUUGAAAGCUGGCUCCUUCGGAGUCCGCAUUGUAAUUUGCAGAGGAUGCUUUGGGUGCGGCCCCCGUCUAAGUGCCCUGGAACGGGCCGUCAGAGAGGGUGAGAAUCCCGUCUUGGGCGGGGUGUCCGUGCCCGUGUAAAGCUCCUUCGACGAGUCGAGUUGUUUGGGAAUGCAGCUCUAAAUGGGUGGUAAAUUUCAUCUAAAGCUAAAUACUGGCCGGAGACCGAUAGCGCACAAGUAGAGUGAUCGAAAGAUGAAAAGCACUUUGAAAAGAGAGUUAAACAGCACGUGAAAUUGUUGAAAGGGAAGCGCUUGCGACCAGACUCGCCCGCGGGGUUCAGCCGGCAUUCGUGCCGGUGUACUUCCCCGUGGGCGGGCCAGCGUCGGUUUGGGCGGCCGGUCAAAGGCCCCUGGAAUGUAGUACCCUCCGGGGUACCUUAUAGCCAGGGGUGCAAUGCGGCCAGCCUGGACCGAGGAACGCGCUUCGGCACGGACGCUGGCAUAAUGGUCGUAAACGACCCGUCU